rnacentral:rRNA from 1 species
UGGGGAAUAUUGCACAAUGGAGGGAACUCUGAUGCAGCGACGCUGCGUGAGUGAUGAAGGAAUUCGUUUCGUAAAACUCUGUUCUAUGGGAAGAAAAGGACUGUACCAUAGGAGAAAGCUCCGGCUAAAUACGUGCCAGCAGCCGCGGUAAUACGUAUGGAGCGAGCGUUGUCCGGAAUUAUUGGGCGUAAAGGGUGCGCAGGCGGCUUUACAAGUUGGAUGUGAAAUAUUGUGGCUCAACCACAAACGUGCAUCCAAAACUGCAAAGCUUGAGUUAAAGAGAGGUAAGUGGAAUUCCUGGUGUAGCGGUGGAAUGCGUAGAUAUCAGGAGGAAUACCGGUGGCGAAGGCGACUUACUGGACUUAAACUGACGCUCAGGCACGAAAGCGUGGGGAGCAAACAGG